UACGGAGGGUGCAAGCGUUACUCGGAAUUACUGGGCGUAAAGAGCGUGUAGGCGGGUAAAUAAGUUGGAAGUGAAAUCCUAUGGCUCAACCAUAGAACUGCUUCCAAAACUGUUAACCUAGAAUGUGGGAGAGGUAGAUGGAAUUUCUGGUGUAGGGGUAAAAUCCGUAGAUAUCAGAAGGAAUACCGAUUGCGAAGGCGAUCUACUGGAACACAAUUGACGCUGAGACGCGAAAGCGUGGGGAGCAAAC
rnacentral:rRNA from 1 species